ensembl:lncRNA
CCAUUGUGUGUCUGUGGGAUGGAGAUUUGCACUAAAGAUUAUAGGCUGUGUAAUAAUGUGUUAGAGAGAGAGAGGUGUGUGUGUGUGUGUGUGUGUGCGUGCGUGCGUGUCAGAGAGACAGAGCGGGAGACGGGGUUGGCAGUGUAAUUUGGGGCCUGUGCUGUGCAGCUGUUUCCAAGCCACCGGCAUCUGUUUCAAUGUAGCUCCUGCAUCUGGGUUGGGAAGGACUCCUGAUACAGAGACCUGAGAAAGAGAGGGAGAGAGUUUCAAUGUCACGUGAAAAAGUACAGUGGAAUGUCUUUCAGCUCUAAACCCCAACAACGGACUAAUCAAUAUCAAUGUAGCACCAAAAACAACAAUGUUGAACAACAACAAACAAUAAAUAAAAAUAAGAAGAACACAAGAAAGUAAGAUUACAAUAUACAGGGUCAGCAUACUGUAUACAGGGUCAGCAUACUGUAUACAGGGUCAGCAUACUGUAUACACGGUCAGCAUACUGUAUACAGGGUCAGCAUACUGUCUACAGGGUCAGCAUACUGUCUACAGGGUCAGCAUACUGUCUACAGGGUCAGCAUACUGUAUACAGGGUCAGCAUACUGUAUACAGGGUCAGCAUACUGUCUACAGGGUCAGCAUACUGUCUACAGGGUCAGCAUACUGUCUACAGGGUCAGCAUACUGUCUACAGGGUCAGCAUACUAUAUACAGGGUCAGCAUACUAUAUACAGGGUCAGCAUACUGUCUACAGGGUCAGCAUACUGUCUACAGGGUCAGCAUACUGUCUACAGGGUCAGCAUACUGUCUACAGGGUCAGCAUACUGUCUACAGGGUCAGCAUACUGUCUACAGGUCAGCAUACUAUAUACAGGGUCAGCAUACUGUCUACUAUAUACAGGGCCAGUAUACUAUAUACAGGGUCAGCAUACUAUAUACAGGGUCAGCAUACUGUAUACAGGGUGAGCAUACUAUAUACAGGGUCAGCAUACUAUAUACAGGGUCAGCAUACUGUAUACAGGGUGAGCAUACUAUAUACAGGGUCAGCAUACUGUCUACAGGGUCAGCAUACUGUCUACAGGGUCAGCAUACUGUCUACAGGGUCAGCAUACUGUCUACAGGGUCAGCAUUCUGUCUACAGGGUCAGCAUACUGUCUACAGGGUCAGCAUACUGUCUACAGGGUCAGCAUACUGUAUACAGGGUCAGCAUACUAUAUACAGGGUCAGCAUACUGUCUACUAUAUACAGGGCCAGUAUACUAUAUACAGGGUCAGCAUACUAUAUACAGGGUCAGCAUACUGUAUACAGGGUGAGCAUACUAUAUACAGGGUCAGCAUACUAUAUACAGGGUCAGCAUACUGUAUACAGGGUCAGCAUACUAUAUACAGGGUCAGCAUACUAUAUACAGGGUCAGCAUACUGUCUACUAUAUACAGGGUCAGCAUACUAUAUACAGGGUCAGCAUACUAUAUACAGGGUCAGCAUACUAUAUACAGGGUCAGCAUACUAUAUACAGGGUCAGCAUACUGUCUACUAUAUACAGGGUCAGCAUACUAUAUACAGGGUCAGUAUACUGUAUACAGGGUCAGCAUACUGUAUACAGGGUCAGUAUACUGUAUACAGGGUCAGCAUACUGUAUACAGGGUCAGCAUACUAUACACGGGGUCAGCAUACUAUAUACAGGGUCAGCAUACUGUAUACAGGGUCAGCAUACUAUAUACAG